ensembl:lncRNA
CAGUAAUGGAGUGAAAGAGCCCAGGAGUGUUUUGUUGACGAGGGAACAGUCAAUGGAUCCUUCAGUGCAUUAUGAAGGUGGAGAUUCUCCUGCACUCAGGUGAACAGAAAAACUAGUCCAACAGGUUUAAACCCAACAUACUGUUAACUAUUAUGGUGAGAAUACACUUAAACACUUUGUAGCAACUCAGUUUAGGGGUGACAAGGAGGGCCAUGACUGUGAAUAAAUUUUGCAAUGCAAAGCAAUUUAGUUUUAUAAAGAUUAUAUCACCCUGUUUACAGGCAGAAGAGAUCAGACUCACCAGAGCCCAGCUGUGUGUCCACGAGCAGUGACACGUCAAAGGAUCUGCCAUUUGCUUUAUUUAAAGGUGGCAGCAAUUCUCCAGGCAGGCAGAAUACGUCAGACUCACCAGAGCCCAGCUGCGUGUCCAUGAGCAGUGACACAUCAAAGGAUCUGCCAUUUGCUUUAUUUAAAGGCAGCUUCAACUCUCACCACAGGUAAAUUUACAAUUAGGACGUAAUGCUAUAGUCAGUAUUGGAAAUACUUGCUUACACAUUUUAGUAUGCACUAAAUGUGUAAUUUAAUUCUUC